UUUUAUGGAGAGUUUGAUCCUGGCUCAGGAUGAACGCUGGCGGCGUGCCUAAUACAUGCAAGUCGAGCGAACGGAUGAGAAGCUUGCUUCUCUGAUGUUAGCGGCGGACGGGUGAGUAACACGUGGAUAACCUACCUAUAAGACUGGGAUAACUUCGGGAAACCGGAGCUAAUAC
rnacentral:rRNA from 1 species